ensembl:lncRNA FAM86B3P family with sequence similarity 86, member A pseudogene
AGGGUUUUGAGAGCCGCUUCCUAGUGGCGCGCACACUGCGCUCCUUCCCCUGGCAGGUGGGCGGCGGGGCGAGCGGAGAGGCCCGCGGGGCUCGCGGAGUCCAGGGGCAGACGGGAUGGGUCUCCGUGCUGAAACCCCCGGCGCUCCUGCCACAGCUUAGAGGCAAAGUUAAGAGACUCAUCAGAUUCUGAGCUGCUGCAGGAUAUUUUGCAGAAGACUGUGAGGCAUCCUGUGUGUGUGAAGCACCCGCCGUCAGUCAAGUAUGCCUGGUGCUUUCUCUCAGAACUCAUCAAAAAGCACGAGGCUGUCCACACGGAGCCUUUGGAUGAGCUGUACGAGGCGCUGGCGGAGACCCUGAUGGCCAAGGAGUCCCCCCAGGGCCACCGGAGCUAUUUGUUGCCCUCGGGAGGCUCGGUCACACUCUCCGAAAGCAUGGCCAUCAUCUCCCACAGCACCACGGGUCUGGUCACAUGGGAUGCCGCCCUCUACAUUGCAGAAUGGGCCAUCGAGAACCCGGCAGCCUUCACUCACAGGUCUGUCUUAGAGCUUGGCAGUGGUGCCAGCCUCACAGGCCUGGCCAUCUGCAAGAUAUGCCGCCCCCGGGCAUACAUCUUCAGCGACUGUCACAGCCGAGUCCUCGAGCAGCUCCAAGGAAAUGUCCUUCUCAAUGGCCUCUCAUUAGAGGCAGACAUCACUGCCAACUUAGACAGCCCUAGGGUGACAAUGGCCCAGCGCUGGACUGGGACGUAGUGACGGUCCAUCAGCGCUCUGCCUUCCAGCUAGAUGUUGUCAUUGCAGCAGAUGUGCUGUAUUGCCCAGAAGCCAUUGUGUCACUGGUCAGGGUCCUGCGGAGGCUGGCUGCCUGCCGGGAGCACCAGCGGGCUUCUGAGGUCUACGUGGCCUUCGCUGUCCGCAAUUGAGAGACGUGCCAGCUGUUCACCACCGAGCUAGAAAGUUCCCCUAAAGCCCUGAGGAAUCACCGAAUGAAAGGGGCUUUUUACAAACAGGAAACUUAAGUGGAGUGCCAAUACACAACAUGGAUUGCAGCAGGCUCGGUCUAAGAUAAAACCAGACGGUGGACAACAGGCCAGGUUUUUGCUUGUCUGAUGACUGAUGGCUCCACCCAGACCUGCCAACCACUCCCGCGGCCCCAUCCAGAAGUGGCUCAGCGUGCAUGAGGACCAUCUCCAACAUCCCUGUGAUUGUACCCCCAACCAACCAGCAGCAAGAACCUAUUGCCUAGUCACCUCCCCUCUCUUUCCCCAACUAUCAUUGAAAAAGUCUGGCUUCCAAAUUUUCCGGGAGACUGAUUUGGGUAAUAAUAAAACUCCAGUCUUCUGUUCAGCCAGCUCUGCAUGAAUUAAGCUCUUUCUCUAUUGCAAUUUUCCUGUCUUGAUAAAUUGUCUCUACCUGGGCAGGGGGCAAAAUGAACCCAUAGGGUGGUUACAGUACCUUGCUGGGUCACUUGAUAUUCCUGGAGGGUCACGGGAAGCGCUAUGUGAAUCCCACUUCUGAUAUUGUAAGAUUCUCUCCAGGGCCUGAAAGCUUAAGGGGUUGAGCAACUCCUCCCUUCUCAGGCCCAGCCCCAGGGCGCAAGGCCGCUUGCAUCAGCAGCGUGCGUGAGCAGAUGCGCCAGCAAGAUAGCAAAAGCAGGAAGAGAGCCAGCCGGAAGACAAGUACCUCUGAAGAUGGAGAAAGAGGCCAUCUGGGUACAACGUUGCAGUUACGUCAGACCAGGACACUUCCUGUUUACAGGAGACUAUAAAACCUUUGCCCCAUCCUCACUUGGGGCUGACGCCGUUUUAGGCCUCAGCCCGCCAGCACCCAGGCUCUCAUUAAAACAGCAUGUUGCUCCACA